rnacentral:misc_RNA from 1 species
GAUGAAGAACGUAGCGAAAUGCGAUAAGUAGUGUGAAUUGCAGAAUUCAGUGAAUCAUCGAAUCUUUGAACGCACAUUGCGCCCCAUGGUAUUCCGUGGGGCAUGCCUGUUCGAGCGUCAUUUACCCCCUCAAGCUCCGCUUGGUGUUGGGCGUCUGUCCCGCUUCGCGCGCGGACUCGCCCCAAAGGUAUUGGCAGCGGUCGUGCCAGCUUCUCGCGCAGCACAUUGCGCUUCUCGAGGCACCGGUGGGCCCGCGUCCAUCAAGCUCACCCCCCCCAGUUUGACCUCGGAUCAGGUAGGGAUACCCGCUGAACUUAAGCAUAUCAAUAAGCGGAGGA